rnacentral:rRNA from 1 species
GAUGAACGCUGGCGGCGUGCCUAAUACAUGCAAGUCGAGCGAACGGACGAGAAGCUUGCUUCUCUGAUGUUAGCGGCGGACGGGUGAGUAACACGUGGAUAACCUACCUAUAAGACUGGGAUAACUUCGGGAAACCGGAGCUAAUACCGGAUAAUAUUUUGAACCGCAUGGUUCAAAAGUGAAAGACGGUCUUGCUGUCACUUAUAGAUGGAUCCGCGCUGCAUUAGCUAGUUGGUAAGGUAACGGCUUACCAAGGCAACGAUGCAUAGCCGACCUGAGAGGGGGAUCGGCCACCUUGGAACUGAGACACGGUCCAGACUACUACGGGAGGCAGCAGUAGGGAAUCUUCCGCAAUGGGCGAAAGCCUGACGGAGCAACGCCGCGUGAGUGAUGAAGGUCUUCGGAUCGUAAAACUCUGUUAUUAGGGAAGAACAUAUGUGUAAGUAACUGUGCACAUCUUGACGGUACCUAAUCAGAAAGCCACGGCUAACUACGUG